GACGAACGCUGGCGGCGUGCUUAACACAUGCCAGUCGAACGGAAAGGCCCUGCUUUUGUGGGGUGCUCGAGUGGCGAACGGGUGAGUAACACGUGAGUAACCUGCCCUUGACUUUGGGAUAACUUCAGGAAACUGGGGCUAAUACCGGAUAGGAGCUCCUGCUGCAUGGUGGGGGUUGGAAAGUUUCGGCGGUUGGGGAUGGACUCGCGGCUUAUCAGCUUGUUGGUGGGGUAGUGGAUUACCAAGGCUUUGGCCGGUAGCCGGCCUGGGAGGGUGGCCGGCCACAUUGGGACUGAGAUACGGCCCAGUGUCGUACGGGAGGCAGCAGUGGGGAAUAUUGCACAGUGGGCGGACGCCUGAUGCAGCAACGCCGCGUUCGGGAUGACGGCCUUCGGGUUGUAAACCGCUUUCGCCUGUGACGAAGCGGGAGUGACGGUAAUGGGUAAAGAAGCACCGGCUAACUACGUG
rnacentral:rRNA from 1 species